AUUUACGUCAAUAUGGAACCUGUUGGAAAAACUGCAUCUAAUCACACAGGUUCGAACAGCUCCAAAGAGACGCUCUGCCUCGGUGCGGCUGUCUGUUUGGGAAUCCUGAAUGUUUUACUUUUGGCUGAACUCAUCGCCCUCAGCAUACACGCUCAUCACAUGACAGCAGAUUUUUCUGACAUCAGCAACAUUCUGACCG